UUCGCAAUGCCCGAAAGGGUGACGAAGCGACGCCGCGUGGGUGGGGAAGGCCUUCGGGUUGCAAAGCCCUGUCAGGAGUUAAGAAAUAUAAGUGUGUUAAUACCGCAUUUAUUUGACGAAGGCUCCAAAGGAAGCCACGGCUAACUCUGUGCCAGCAGCCGCGGUAAUACAGAGGUGGCAAGCGUUGUUCGGAAUUAUUGGGCGUAAAGAGCACGUAGGUGGGUUUGUAAGUCAGAUGUGAAAGCCUUCUGUUCAACGGGAGAAUUGCAUCUGAAACUGCAAGUCUUGAGUAUAGGAGGGGAGAGUGGAACUUCUGGUGGAGCGGUGAAAUGCGUAGAUAUCAGAAGGAACGUCGGCGGCGAAAGCGACUCUCUGGCCUAUUACUGACACUGAGUGUGCGAAAGUUAGGGGAGCAAACGGGAUUAGAUACCCCGGUAGUCCUAACUGUAAACGAUGGGCACUAAGUAGAGGGGUUUU
rnacentral:rRNA from 1 species